GCACCUGUAGCUUAGUUGGUAAAGGAAGCACUCUUGUAUGUGACUCAGCAUUGCUGAGGUUGUGAGUUCAAAUCUCACCAGGCACA
rfam:Puccinia graminis f. sp. tritici CRL 75-36-700-3 supercont2.27 genomic scaffold, whole genome shotgun sequence.